GUCACUGACCCGCUAAAUACAGGAGGUCAGCUAGACUUACAGAAACUGAGGGCCGAGUCACUGAUCCACUAAAUCCAGGAGGUCAGCUAGACUUACAGAGACUGAGUCCAGAGUCACUGACCCACUAAAUACAGGAGGGCAGCUAGACUUACAGAGACUGAGGGCUGAGUCACUGACCCACUAAAUACAGGAGGCCAGCUAGACUUACUGAAACUGAGGGCCGAGUCACUGACCCACUAAAUACAGGAGGGCAGCUAGACUUACAGAGACUGAGGGCUGAGUCACUGACCCACUAAAUACAGGAGGCCAGCUAGACUUACUGAAACUGAGGGCCGAGUCACUGACCCACUAAAUACAGGAGGUCAGCUAGACUUACCGAAACUGAGGCCGGAGUCAAUGAUCCACUAAAUACAGGAGGUCAGCUAGACUUACAGAGACUGAGUCCAGAGUCACUGACCCACUAAAUACAGGAGGGCAGCUAGACUUACAGAGACUGAGGCCAGAGUCACUGCCCCACUAAAUACAGGAGGUCAGCUAGACUUACAGAAACUGAGGCCGGAGUCACUGACCCACUAAAUAUGGGAGGUCAGCUAGACUUACAGAAACUGAGGGCCGAGUCACUGAUCCACUAAAUACAGGAGGUCAGCUAGAGUUAUAGAAACUGAGGCCGGAGUCCCUGACCCACUAAAUACAGGAGGUCAGCUAGACUUACAGAGACUGAGGCCAGAGUCACUGACCCACUAAAUACAGGAGGUUAGCUAGACUUACCGAAACUGAGGGCCGAGUCACUGAUCCACUAAAUCCAGGAGGUCAGCUAGACUUACAGAGACUGAGGCCAGAGUCACUGCCCCACUAAAUACAGGAGGUCAGCUAGACUUACAGAGACUGAGUCCAGAGUCACUGACCCACUAAAUACAGGAGGUUAGCUAGACUUACCGAAACUGAGGGCCGAGUCACUGAUCCACUAAAUCCAGGAGGUCAGCUAGAGUUAUAGAAACUGAGGCCGGAGUCACUGACCCGCUAAAUACAGGAGGUCAGCUAGACUUACAGAGACUGAGGCCGGAGUCACUGACCCACUAAAUACGGGAGGUCAGCUAGACUUACCGAAACUGAGGGCCGAGUCACUGAUCCACUAAAUCCAGGAGGUCAGCUAGACUUACCAAAACUGAGGGCUGAGUCACUGACCCAAUAAAUACAGGAGGUCGGCUAGACUUACCGAAACUGAGCCCGGAGUCACUGACCCACUAAAUAUGGGAGGUCAGCUAGACUUACAGAAACUGAGGGCCGAGUCACUGAUCCACUAAAUCCAGGAGGUCAGCUAGACUUACAGAGACUGAGGCCAGAGUCACUGCCCCACUAAAUACAGGAGGUCAGCUAGACUUACAGAAACUGAGGGCCGAGUCACUGAUCCACUAAAUCCAGGAGGUCAGCUAGAGUUAUAGAAACUGAGGCCGGAGUCUCUGACCCACUAAAUACAGGAGGUCAGCUAGACUUACAGAGACUGAGGGCUGAGUCACUGACCCACUAAAUACAGGAGGUCAGCUAGACUUACAGAAACUGAGGGCCGAGUCACUGACCCACUAAAUACAGGAGGUCAGCUAGACUUACAGAGACUGAGGUAUACAGGGGGUCAAUACGAUUUACAGGGUUCAAGGUUCAAGGCCGAAGUUGCUCACCGACUAAAUAUACAGAAGCUCGGAUAGAAUAGGAUCAUACAGAAAGCUUUGUUGUGAAUUUAUCAAACAGACUUAUUUUUCAUACCAGAACAUCUUGGUGUCACUGAUUAUUUAAUUAACUUGAGCUUUAGGAAAAAUCUUACUGACUUGAAUGAAUGAUUCUUGUCAAAGGUUAAAUAUUUAUUCACGGAAAUAUCAAAGUGAUAGGUGACUUACCGUCAGUUGCUCACAUGAGAGACUUGCAUAAACAGAACGAUCGAAGGGUGAACAUUUUGAAAUCAUAACACAAUUUAGACAAACCAUUCUGGGAAAUAUAUUUUAGAAUAACAGUUAAAUAUCAUCUGAUUGGCGAAAACAGGUGUAACUAGUAAUUACUUGAAUGAAAAUGAUUACAAACUUAUAACUUUUGGUUACAAACUUGUAAUAAGAGUAACCAAUAGUUAGAAAACCUAUAACUAGACUAACCAUUGGUUACAGACUUGUAACAAGAGUAACCAUCAGUUAUAAACUUGCAAUUAGAGUAACCAUUGUUUACAAACUUAUAACUAGAGUAACCAUUGGUUAUAAACUUAUAACUAGAGUAACCAUUGGUUACAAACUUGAACUAGAGUAACCAUUGGUUAUAAACUUAUAACUAGAGUAACCAUUGGUUACAAAUCUUAUAACUAGAGUAACCAUUGCAUGGUUAUAAACUUAUAAUUAGAGUAACCAUUGGUUAUAAACUUUAACUAGAGUAACCAUUGGUAACAGACUUGUAACUAGAGUAACCAUCGGUUAUAAACUUGCAAUUAGAGUAACCAUUGUUCACAAACUUAUAACUAGAGUAACCAUUGGUUACAAACUUUAACUAGAGUAACCAUUGGUUAUAAACUUUAACUAGAGUAAUCAUUGGUUAUAAACUUAUCUGAUGAUCAUUAUUCUACAAAGAGUAAUAUCGAGUUCUAUUAUUAGUAACAUAUAUGGCUACUGGGAAUAGAUCAACAUGAAGGUAAUGUCAUGUUUUCCCAUAUUGUAAUGAAAACUCCCUCAUCAAUGACAUACUAACAUUUAGGGUGUAUUUCUGGAUUAAGAUGUUACAAAGUUGUGUGAUUUCUGUGUUAACUUUUCUCUAGUAGGCUGGCUCAGACACUCUCCACCAAUCACAGGAACCCAAAUGACAGGUUAUGUUCUCUUAACAAUGAUUUUUAUAUAUUACUAACUGAGGAAUAUGACAUGAACUUUGACCUUCAGAGCACACGGCCAUCUGGGUGUUGUGAUGAUCUCACGCCGUGUACUGUCUAUACCACUGUGUAAUAUAUAAAGUCAGUAGACAUCAGCAAGGGGUACAACAUUCUAUUAGAUCUAUAAUAAAUAUCCUUGAAUGACUGAGUAAGGGUGAAUACUGGUCAAACUAGGAUACACUUUCAAACAAAAGCCUCUGACACAUAAAUCCACAUUCAAUUUUAGCUUUUUACAUAUCCAUUUGAUACGAAAUACAUGAAAACGAAAAUUACAAUCGAAAUUUGAAUAUAUGUAUAUAGCUUUGAAUGCAUGCUUCUUAACCUUCAAUGAAUUAACACGCCAUCAGUAGGAUCAAUUUGUACAAACCAAGUCUAUUAUGUGUGGUAUGGCAUAAGGAACCUCCUCUCUCCCCUAUAUGUGACAAUGGUAGGACUAAGGACAGGUCCAAUACAAAACCGUAGGGGAGGGACUAGACAGCUGUAUGUACAAAGCAGUGUGAAGUCCUAGUAAUGUUCUCUGUAAACUUAUUGUGACACUUAUUGAAGGUAGGGGAGACAACUUCGUCACACAUAUGUCAUACAGUAGUCAGGGGCAACAAUUCUUGUCUCACACCCUACAAGAACACAUGCAUGGUUGUCACAAAUCAUAAAUUAAAAAUAUCUUUUCAUGAUCCCUUAAUUGGUACUACAAAAAGUAUUUUCUAAAUUUUAACUUUUUUACAAUUAACAUGAGGAAUUAAUCGGACGAGUGACAAAAGGUUGACUAAAGUGUACAUUUAGAUAAGGGAUAAAAUCACUUUUAAUGUGUCUACAACUCAACAUAUUUCCAAUUACAAAGGACAGAUAACGCUUCAAACAGUAAGAGUUGCUUCCCUUUUGAACAGAUACCAUACGAUAUAGUGUAUAGCUGUUUUAUGACUUUAUGGACUAGUUAAAAGUUUUAUUUCGGUUUUUUUAUCUUAAUACCUUUGUUUUUAAAUGAUUUUAUUUUAUAUCUAAUUCAAUACAAAAUCCUAAAAAUUAAAAAAAUUAAAAAAAAUUACCUUGUUUUUGUGAAAGUGUCACGAUUUGGACAAUGAAGAUACCUGUUAAGGAGGGAGGUAACUCACACAGUUAUGAUAUCCCGUAGUCAGAGAAUGCUAUGUCACCACUGUUUUAUACACAUUUAACACAAACCAUUUUUGCCCUCUGAAUAUCACACACAGCAUCAAGGUUAAUCUGUCUCAGCACACCCAGACAUUUUAACUCUAUCUGUCUCAGCACACAGAUAUUUUAACUCAUUUACCCCUAAAGACACAUUUGAACCCUUCCAAUUCAAAGGUUGGAAUAGUUCAUUAUGAAUUUUCACGGGUGAAUGAGUUAAAACAGAUCAUUAUCAGUCAAGUACAUACCAAUAUUAAUACAAUUCUGUUCAGUUUGAUCUGCUACUUUACACAAAUCGCCGACUGACACAUAAUGUCUAUGAUAAUGAAAAAAAAAUUGCAUUGUAUACAACUAAACGACCAAAAUGAGGGCCGUGACAAUACAUAUGGUUAACUCAUUCACCCCUGAAGACACAUUUGAACACUUCCAAUUCAAAGGUUGGAAUAGUUCAUUAUGAAAUUUCAGGGGUGAAUGAGUUAAAGCUAUCUGAUGAAUGAAUUGUUCCCUCUAUAUCUAACUUAACAUAUUACAAUGUCAAGUGACGUGUUCAAUGUUUAUAAUCUAUUUAAUAAAUGGAUUUCCUGUUUUACCUUAUAGAAGGGUCCCCGCUGACUUUUGCAAUAUUUCAAUUUUUCCAAAUUAUAUAAAGCAUUAAGGUUAUUUUUCCAGCAUCAAAGAAGUUCUAACAUUCUAAAGAUAGAAUAAUAAAAAGUAGCUACAAAAACUGAUUUUGGGCCUGUAAGUUAAACAUGACCACCUUUAUACUAUUUACACGGCUCCUUUAAUUAACAGAAAGGUACAAAGGUAGGGUUACAAGUGUAUACAUUGACUGUACAAAUUGAGGUAAGGUAAAGCACGAGAACCCUUGGAUCUAAAAGUAGACUCUUCCUACACCACACAGAGAAACCUUGUGUCCCAGGUUAGCUUACAGCCUACCAGGAUAGGGUUUUAGCUUACAGCCUACCAGGAUAGGGUUUUAGCUUACAGCCUACCAGGAUAGGGUUUUGAAGUGUAUUUAUUUUCAUAAUGAAAAACCAUUGAGAUUGCUUCAUAAUAUCAUACUGUUAACUAAUAUCUGUUUAUAAUGCUUACAACAAGACAUGCAUGUUAUUGUUCAAAAACACCAAAACGUCAGCAGGAACCCAGUGUAUUUAACUCUGUAUUGAUAUCUAACUCAUUCACCCAUGAAAUUUCAUAAUGAA